GGUGCCGCUAGAUGGCAAUGGAGACAGCAGCACUGUGCAGUUGGCUUCAGCGUCGCCGGUGCUGCCCGCAUCCCUGUGCUGUAACAGCAAACACUGGCUGCUCCAAGGAACAGAUCAGUGCACUGGAUUCCAGAUGUGAUCAUUAUCGGUGCGAGCCUUUCAGCUCACUUUACGAUGAAGACAGGCAGAAAUUGCCUGUAAAAAUCCCAAGCCUCACUGUUGGGUCCUGUGCUACGUCCCGAGUCCGAGAGGAU
ensembl:lncRNA